rnacentral:rRNA from 1 species
CCUACGGGAGGCAGCAGUGAGGAAUAUUGGUCAAUGGACGAGAGUCUGAACCAGCCAAGUAGCGUGAAGGAUGACUGCCCUAUGGGUUGUAAACUUCUUUUAUAUGGGAAUAAAACGUUCCACGUGUGGGAUUUUGUAUGUACCAUACGAAUAAGGAACGGCUAACUCCGUGCCAGCAGCCGCGGUAAUACGGAGGAUCCGUGCGUUGUCCGGAUUUAUUGGGUUUAAAGUGAGCGUAGGUGGAUUGUUAAGUCAGGUGUGAAAGUUUGGGGCUCAACCGUAAAAUUGCAGUUGAGACUGGCAGUCUAGAGUACAGUAGAGGUGGGCGGAAUUCGAGGUGUAGCGGUGAAAUGCUUAGAUAUCACGAAGAACUCCGAAUGCGAAGGCAGUUCACUGGACUGCAACUGACACUGAGGCUCGAAAGUGUGGGUAGCAAACAGGAUUAGAUACCCUAGUAGUC